AGUGAACGCUGGCGGUAGGCCUAACACAUGCAAGUCGAACGGCAGCACAGUAAGAGCUUGCUCUUACGGGUGGCGAGUCGCGGACGUGUGAGGAAUACAUCGUACUCUACUUUUUCGUGGGGGAUAACGUAGGGAAACUUACGCUAAUACCGCAUACGACCUACGGGUGAAAGCAGGGGAUCUUCGGACCUUGCGCGAUUGAAUGCGCCGAUGUCGGAGUAGCUAGUUGGCGGGGUAAAUGCCCACCAAGGCGGCGAUCCGUAGCUGGACUGAGAGGAGGGUCGGCCACACUAGAACUGAGCCGCGGUCCAGAGUCCUACGGGAGGGAGCAGUGGGGUAUAUUGGACAAUAGGGGCGAGCAUGAUCCAGCCAUACCGCGUGGGAGAAAGAGGCCUUCGGGUUGUAAAGCCCGUUUGUUGGGAAAGAAAAGCAGUAGCUUAAUACCACGCUGUUGUGACGGUAACGAAAGAAUAAGCACCGGCUAACUUCGUG
rnacentral:rRNA from 1 species